rnacentral:lncRNA from 1 species
AAGGAGUUCAAAAUAGUUAAGCAGAAAAGAAAGCCAUUGAGAACGUAAGAUUGAAAAAUAUGAAGGCAAACAAUUAUCUCUUCCAAGGUAAUGAUAGAUGAAUUCUAGAGAUCAUUUUGAACAAAGAUGUGCCUAAAAGCAUCUAAGACUCCUUGAAGGGGGAUCACGUGAAGGGAAGAAAAUCCUAAAUAGUAGAGAUGUGAUAUCAUUAAGUGGGAGGCUGAGUCUGUCUCUAGGGUUAUAAACAUUUUGGGGGGAGCUUUUUCAAGUUUGUCCAAAAAAAUUGUAGUCUCUCAUUUGAGAUGUUUUUUGUUGUAGGCAGUUAGUGUCAAACCACGAUAAAUUAUGUGUCUAUCAGUAAUGGAUUUUUUGCAUGAUCCUAUCAUCAAUAUUUGUUGUCUGCGAGGUUUUUCUUCUACAUGUAGCAAGCCUAAUGCCCAGCAUUUAAGGAGGGGAUAGAGAUGCUGAAAGGGAAGUUUUUCAAUAAUCUUUUUUAACACACUUGCCAUUGUUGACAAGCUACAACUCAAUAAGGCAAAGAUAGACGAUGUUGUAGCCAUUGAGAAAAUACUAAGAUCUAUGAUGCCUAGGUUAAAUUAUGUGAUAUGUUUUAUUAAGGAAUCAAGGGGAUGAAUUACAAAGCAGUGUUCUAGUAUUUUUUUUGUCAAUAAUAAAAAAUAAAUAAAAUUAAAUACUUGGAGUGUUUCCGUGUACAAGAAAUAUCUCAGUCUUCUAGUAUUGAGACGUUUGUUACUUUUUUCUUAGCAUAUGUCGUUAGUCGGUCGGUAAUCCAUUGAAGUUGGAUUUGUUGCUGCAGUUUCUUGCACCUGUCAACUCAUGUGCAUCAAGGUGGUGGCACAACAAUUUUCAGUGACACUAAUUCUGAGUCCUCAAAGAAUCCUUUUUUUCAUUGCCAGAUUUCACUUUCUUCGUCAUCUCACAGGGGAUGUAGUUGUCUAGUUAGUCCACCAUCAUAAUCACGAACAAUUUGCUGAUAUAAUGACAUGACCAAUUAUAGCAUGAUUUCCUUGUAAAUCUUUGAGGUCUAUUAGGACUGUGUGUUGGCCCAAAUGAAAACUUAAUAAAUCUUUAUUUGUUGAGGGAGAAUAUUAAAUUGUUAAUAUUUGAAUUAGUUUUUACGUUGAACCUUAAGAUAUGAUUUAUUGCAUCCCUAUCUUCUAGGAAUAAGAUAUUGGCUUCCUUGUUAUUCUCCGUUGUCGAAGACUGUUAUAUUAGUUUUUCUAUAGCUUAAAUUUUUUUCUCCAACUAUUUU